UGGUAAUUAGUUUAAUUAAAAUUAAUGAUUUCGACUCAUUAGAUUAUGAUAG
rnacentral:tRNA from 1 species